rnacentral:rRNA from 1 species
AACGAACGCUGGCGGCGCGUCUUAAGCAUGCAAGUCGAGCGGUAAGAUUGGUGCUUGCACUAAUCCUAGAGCGGCGGACUGGUGAGUAACGCGUGGGUGACGUACCUUUGUGACGGGGAUAGCUCCUAGAAAUAGGAGAUAAUACCGGAUACGCUGCAUGUUGUCAGAGGACAUGCAGGAAAGGAUCUUUUGAUUCGCACGAAGAGCGGCCCGCGUACUAUUAGCUAGUUGGUGAGGUAACGGCCCACCAAGGCAACGAUAGUUACCCGGCCUAAGAGGGUGAUCGGGCACAUUGGGACUGAGAUACGGCCCAGACUCC